CCUCAUUCCCAGAAUGUAAACAGUGUCCGCCAUUGAAAAGUGUUUUUCAUAAAUACUACCAAUAUUCUAGUAAUAUGCUAAAUGCUAAUCGGUGAAGUAUUCCUUUAGUAGUUACUUGAAGUUGUAUAUCAUCAUAUAUCAUAUAUAUGUAUGUAUAUACAUACAUGCCUGUAGCUAAUAUGUCCCAUAGACCCUGCAUUGUGAAGUGUUUACAUUUUGCAUAACUGUGAGAUUGCACUGUUCCAUUAUAUCCUUAAUAAGGAGGGAAACAGCGAGUGGAGUCUGCCUUGGCUCCUGAUGAAUAAUUCCACAUUACACAGGAUGUUCAACUGCUCCUAUUAAAUACUUAAACACAGCAGGACCUCUUGGUAAAGAGAGCUUUGAGUGCACUCAUUGGCAGAUAUUCAUAUGUUUUAUUGGUGGAAACGGUGUAAUUUUAGAAUAUGGGAUGAAGGUAUUGCUGGUGGUAUUAACGACAAUUGACAGGAAGUUAAGAAGCAGGCUUUUAUUUUGGUGACACUCCAAAAUAAAGUGCAUAUAGUCAGUUAAGGGACAGUAAUUAUCGGGAAAAAGUGGUUAAUAUGAUUUUCUCUUUUUCUGUACACGCACACACUUUGAUGGACUUGAAAUGUUAAUGUGAAAAUUAAAAAAAAAGAAGUUUUUACAAAGCUGUGGUUACGCAGGUGUGAUGAGAGCCUGAAGGCAGCUUCUCUAGCAAGGCACAACACCACAGCUGGAUGCCCUGCACUCCAUCUGACUAACCCUCCCGCUCCGCUUGCUCUUCUCACCUCUCAUCCUUUCUCAUCGCCGUUCCUCCAGACACUUCGCCUCUUCUGUCUCCAUCACAAGUCAAAAUAGAUUGCGACAGCACCAGGACCAACUUGACUCUGAGACGCAUCUUGAAUGAGACCCUGGCGUGCAGCCAGAAUAGACAGAGAAGGCAUGAAAAGAUGAAAGAUAAAAGCACAGAGGAGCUCAAAUAUAAAGACUGUCAGAGAGAUUGGCGCCUUAACAAGAGCUGACUGGAGAAAGAGGGGAUUAAAGAAAUGACAAAAAAGAAGCCAGCAUGGGGUUUUGAACAAGUGAUAUGUAAAAGAGACAGAGAUGAAGAAGGGGAAAGAGAGAGCGCACUGAAAUAAAUAGAGAUAAACGCAUGUUAGAGAAGUUAAGAUGGAAAGAAACACACAAGUGCAAACUCUCAGCCUGUGCAAGCGUCUGUCCGCGCAAUACAUACACACAAACACACACUCACGAUCCGCCCACAGUCACCAGAGACCUGAUUAAGAGAGCAGAGCUAUCGAUCUGUGGGCUGGCAGGCUACGAUGGAUGAGCAGACAGGGCUGCAGGAGCACCAGAGGACAGCUUCAGUGGUCCCACAUCCCCACACCGCCCCACCCAACCACCCACGCCACAGCUGAGAGCUGGUCAGGGCCACGGGCAGGAAGGCCGGGGCUGCCACACUGGGGCUCAGCAGCAGCAGAGGAAGACUCACCCCGCUGUGAACAUGAAAGCCGCGCGUCAUGAAUGAUUCUGGGCCGGAGAGGGAAGUUUGCCCCACGUCUCUUUGAACACUGACUGAAUAUUAAACAGACCCGCCCCCUCUUGCCCAGACUAGAUGCUUAUUGGCCCCCCAGAUCAUUUGAGUUUGACAUGCCUGAUUUAGAUCAACAUUCCCAAAGUGUGGGCCCCCUCGUGGACCGUGACAGUACUACAAGUGGGCCGUGAAAGCAUGUGUGUGUCUACGUCUGAGACUGAAGCACCAAGUGGAUGUUGUUGUGCAGAUAUUUUGCCUCGUGACAUCGUUUACGCUCCUGCUUCUCCAGCUCUGACCCGGUCGCGUUGAUAGUCACGGUCUGCAACAACCGCAUCGAGAUGCACCCGAGCGACCCGCGGCGUCGAGACACAAACAGGUUCUACAACAGAACACGCACAGUCACAAUGACUGCAUUUCUUCGCCAAGCCACUGCGGGGCGCUGUAGUGUAAUACGUGCUGUGACUUCAUGAGCACUGUGCCAGGCGCAGGUGCGGCCACUGUGGUCUAUUUUGUCUGCGUAAAGGAUUGGCACCAGUGACCGCCGCGACC